CCCGGCGCCUUGCAGGGGGACGGUCCCGGUGGCUGAGCCACCUCUGCUCUGGUGUGUGGUGCUGGAACUUUGAAUAUUGCAGAGAAAUGGAGGAUUGCCACAUCACAAUGUCCACCCUCUUCUAAGCAUGCGAGCAACCUGAACAGCAAAAGAGGAAUGUGUUGUUUGAGAGGCAAACAUAUAUCCCUACCAGUGCAGACAGAAAUCUUUCUCUUGCAGACGGGAGACUGAGGCACAGGAAGCCCACGAUUUGCCUAAGUAGUACGGACCAUCUGGACCUAAGCAGGAAAUGAGCUGGGUCUCCAGAACUCCAGAACAAGGCCGUCAUCAUAGGGUCAUCUAUUUUCCCUGUGCCAUGAUGCUUCUU